CAAGGAAUUUUCCCCAAUGGGCGCAAGCCUGAGGGAGCAACGCCGCGUGCAGGAUGACGGCUUUCGGGUUGUCAACUGCUUUUGCGUGGGACGAUAACGACGGUACCACGCGAAUAAGCCCCGGCUAACUCUGUGCCAGCAGCCGCGGCUAUACAGAGGGGGCAAGCGUUGUCCGGCCUUACUGGGCGUAAAGCGCACGCAGGUGGUAAGGCAAGUGGGGUGUGAAAGCCGCCAGCUUAACUGGCGGAGGCGAUCCCAAACUGCCUCACUUAAGGCCUGUAGAGGUAUGUGGAAUUGCCGGUGUAGUGGUGAAAUGCGUAGAGAUCGGCAGGAACACCCAGGGGGAAACCAGCAUACUGGACAGGACCUGACACUCAGGUGCGACAGCGUGGGGAGCGAACCGGAUUAGAUACCCGUGUAGUCC
rnacentral:rRNA from 1 species